rfam:Schistosoma curassoni strain Dakar, Senegal genome assembly, scaffold: SCTD_scaffold0007956
AUCUAACUGACGAGUCCCAAAUAGGACGAAACGCGUGUCCUGGAU